UAAGCUACAUCAACCAUAUUUGUUUUCAGCGGAUGUCCAGUUGCUUUCACACCAAAGACCACCGAAUUAUCUCGAGCCGGAGAAUGGAGGGCCAACCCCCCCACCCCAGCUCAGAGCUCGCCCCCCCAGCUCCUGGUUUGUGGAGAUGAGAGUUCAGGAGGUGCCACGCAGACCUGCCGGAAAUGCUGACGCCAGCGAUGGGCUGGAUGAAGGAGCCGAGAGUCGCUGCGACGGUGAUGAAGACGUUUCAAGGACACGUCUGCGUGCCACAAGGGGAUUGUGCACUCCUCCAGGGUGACUGAGAGACAUGCAGAGGGCUUCUGAGACGCCCAGCGCUCUCCCGCGAAACCAGCUGAAAGAACAAACAUGGGACCUAAGGAAUUAAAUCAGAUUUUUGUUCCUAUUCUGUACCUCCUAUCCCCUUAGCAUGCCCCGUGUGUCUUUCUGCUAAUUCUUCAGAGGCAUCACUUUUAUGCAUGGCAGGACGCCUGCAAGCUUGCUGAAAUCACCUUCUUAACAGGGAUAACAGGGUGAUGCUACGUGAUGGCUUUCAGAGCAACGGCCCUACUGUCUUGUUAGCCUACCGUUUUCUAGCGAUUCUUCUGCACUAUCCAGUCAGACUGUUGGCUCUAUGCAACACCAAGAUAACUCCAAGGUCAUGAUGUACCUUGAUAUUCCAAAAGUUUUUGAUGCAUGCUAAGGCCAUCAGUAAAGGGAAUGACAAGUAUCCUUCUAAGACUUUAACCUUUAUACCUACAGGUAUCUUCUCAGGCCUCAAAACUGGUUGUUUCAUUAGUUAGUAGAGAAAAUGUGCUAUUAGAGCAGCCUGUUGUUAUGCCGGGAUAUGGAGUCGUGUGCCUGAGCAUGGAAUCACCUGAAGAGAUUAUGUUGCCCUCAGUCCUCCUACAUAAUUAAUAUUUCCGUGUGCAAACCAGCAUCAUGGAUUAUCAAAAGAUUAGUAUGAAACAUAGUUGCUUGUUUCACAGGUAUAAACUGUGGGUCACAGAUUAUGUGAUAAAUCCAUCUUCUAACCUUGUAUCCAGCUGUUGCAAUACAUAGAAUGAAUAAUGCUAGCUGAUGCGAGGUAGAAACAAAUCUUAAUUAUUAAACUACGAUCUUGCGCUGAUCUUCAGGCAAGCUCACAAUAUUCAGUGAGUUUCGCACAUUAUGGUGAAACUCCUGCAGGGACCUAUCAUAUUGGUUUAUUCUCACUUGGUGUUUAACAUAAAACUUGCAAAUCAGU